ACAGUUCGGUCCCUAUCUGCCGUGGGCGCUGGAGAACUGAGGGGGGCUGCUCCUAGUACGAGAGGACCGGAGUGGACGCAUCACUGGUGUUCGGGUUGUCAUGCCAAUGGCACUGCCCGGUAGCUAAAUGCGGAAGAGAUAAGUGCUGAAAGCAUCUAAGCACGAAACUUGCCCCGAGAUGAGUUCUCCCUGACUCCUUGAGAGUCCUGAAGGAACGUUGAAGACGACGACGUUGAUAGGCCGGGUGUGUAAGCGCAGCGAUGCGUUGAGCUAACCGGUACUAAUGAACCGUGAGGCUUAACCUU
rnacentral:rRNA from 1 species